AUGGAAGCAGACCUCUCACUUUUAGAAACUGAUCUGCAGCCGAUGGAGAUCGCCACCCCAACACCACUGAAGAAGAAAAAGAAGGCAGCAGUGCAAGUCUUCAAGGAGCAGGACUCAGAGGUUGUGACGGAGGCAGACCUGGACACACCCGCGAAGACUGGGAAGAAGAAGCGUAAGAUCCCAGUUGUAAUCGAGGUGGAAGCUGACGAACUGGAGGCGGAGGCUGCCAGAGUCAACGGGUUGGCAGAAGUCAAGAAAGUCAAACUGUGUGAUGAGAGCAAAGAGCCAUCCACACCAGUGAGCGCCAAGAAACCCAAGAAGAUGACACCUAAGAAGGCUAAGCUUGCGGCAGGGUCUGACUUCGUCACGUUCCAGAACCAUGCCACCAUACCUACACCCCUCUUUUUCAGGACAACUAACAAGCGUGGAAUUAAAUUGUAUCUAUUUCUUUCACAGAAGAAGUGUCAGACUCCCAACUCUGAAUCCAAGGUUACCUUUGGACUCAGUAAAAACAAAACAGCCAGAUUGACCCUGAUUUUGAUUCCAACAUCAUUUUCUGACUGAUAUAUUUAGUGUCGGUUGCCCCAUACAUAGUGGUCUGAUUACAACCAUUUGGCUUCUUGGUCCUCAUUUCUUUACAGUUUUAUGUUUGACUUUUUGAAGAGACUUUCCUCUUUUUGUUUUGCCUGUUCAUGGCCCCUAGAAUUCAGGAAGACUGAUCGCGGUUUUCUCGCAGUCCGAGUGCCCUUUGAACCAAGUAGAAACCACUUUUUGGGGUCCUGAAGUCCCCAGCGGCAUCUCUUAACAGUACCAAGAAGAUGAAGAGCACCCCUAAAGUCACCCCCAAAUGGCCCACUGCUGCUGACUUUUUUUAGUUCUCAAUAAGACAUCCCACCUCAGUCCCCCUGAUUCACCCCCAUUAUGAACUGUAUAACCACAGUCUUUGAAUCCUCAUUGGGAAGAGAUUAUUAUGGACAUACAAAUGUUUAUGUAAUAUUUCUCAUUUUACAUGUUCUUUGUGGGUGGGUGAGUGUUUAAUUAAAGACAGUCUUGUUUUAGUUAUUCAGGUUAGUCAUUGUUUAUUCUUCUGUCAGCCUUCUGGUUGAAAUCAGACCGCAUUGUCAAAUUAACUGGCGCCACAAACUCAGUUUGAAAGAAAAUAUAGGAAUUUAUUGUUGCCAGUUUAGAAAGCCUACUCCAAGACACCAAUGCCCAACUCUUAUGCAUUGAAAAAUGUUUGCAUAAGAGUUCCAUUCACCUUUUGGUAAGAAAAUGACAUUUUGUUGAAAUCUGAAAUGGACUUUCAGUCUAGGACCUUGUAAUCUUGUUUUGGUUUCCAGUAUGUUUGAUUGGCAAGCAGGGAUGUGGAUUUAUAAUGAAGUCAGCUAGGUGAUGUAAUUGUGCCAAGAUCCCAGGGAUCCCUUUUUUUUUUAUUACUUAAAACAUUUUGAAUGCCCAUGUAGCAUAAUGGUAAUGCCCCCAACAGAAGCGGCCUUGUCGUCCAGGACAGCCUUUCGUUUUAUUUUCUCUACUGCGUCUGUGCCCUUGCUAGUUUCAGUCUUUACUGUGGUCUUUCCAACCUCAGGAGAGCUCCUGUAGCUUACUCAGAACAUGUCUUUGUUUGUGGUGCUGUGGCAGGAGUUGUGUCCACCUCAGCCUUCAACACCCUGUUCUGCUCUUCACCUCUCCCAGUUAUAUUCAUCUUCUUUCUGUUCUUCUUAGUGGUAGUGUCACUGGGGGCCUCUGCUGCUUUGCUCUCGUCUGGUGCCACACCCUGGUUAGACUUUCCUGGUUUUGCAGCCUUCUUCCCUGAAUUAGAAAAUAAGACAGCGAUGGUGUAAGAUUUACAUUCUUUGUAUGACUGCUUGCACCUACGAAUAA
rnacentral:lncRNA from 1 species